UAACACCCUCCCCCGUCAUCAUGCCCUGAAAAUAAGCAAUUGAUGAGUAAUGCAUUUCAUGGAUGAAAUGAAAGCCAUGCUUGCACAUGGAUGUGCUUUCAUGGCGUUUACGUUCACAUCAAUUGUGCAUUGAAGGAUUAAGCGUGAUGCUCGGGGCGCCGUGGG
rfam:Pseudoalteromonas marina DSM 17587 strain mano4 contig001, whole genome shotgun sequence.